rnacentral:rRNA from 1 species
AAACUUUCAACAAUGGAUCUCUUGGUUCCGGCAUCGAUGAAGAACGCAGCGAAUGCGAUAACUAGUGUGAAUUGCAGAAUUCCGUGAAUCAUCGAGUCUUUGAAACGCACAUUGCGCCCCCUGGUAUUCCGGGGGGCAUGCCUGUCCGAGCGUCAUU